ensembl:lncRNA
CACAAGCCCCGGAUAUGUUUGACUUUAUCAAGUGUAGCUCAUGUCACAGUGCAUCCAAAUAUGUUGAACUUAGAAAAACUGUAGAUAUGUAGAUAAUAGAAAUUAAUGGUUUUACAAAGGACUGCUCACUAGCCCAUGGAAGUGCCAUUAAAGACUAUUCUUACAGCCUUUGGUGAAACAGCCUGAAGGAAUUUAGGAGUGAUCCAGAAUUCUGCAAAAACAAGUUUUAGCUAAGCCUUAAUUUUCUUCUCUUGAUGAACUGCCUGAACUCUCAUAGGAGUGACACUAAGUUGUAAAUACUACACGGAAACAAGCUUGUUUGAAUGCCAUUGAGUUAGUCGUCACAUCAGUCGAGUUAGCUGUGGGGUUACGCGGAGCUUUUCUUCCCGCUCUUCAACCAUCCACAUUUGAGUCCAGCAAUAAACACAUUGUGUAGACGUCUUUCUUAAGGCUCGCAGUUGAUUGUUCUGUUUCCAACUUUUUCGCUGUGUUGUUUAUUUCCACAACCAAAGACGUUGAAGCCAACCAUCUUUAAGCUCUUGGCUUAAGCUGCUCUCAUUUGUGGACGAUCAUGUGUUGCGUGUAGCUGGAUGAAAAGCCCUUUUUUCUGCUCCUGACAGUAAACAGGGCUAACAUCACAAUAAGGGGGGGGGGGGGGGGGUGACGUGCACACAAUAUUCCAUUAAGACCAAAGUCUAAGGUUUUGUGAGGACUUUGCGACUACUCUAUCCCUCAUAUAGUAAAGUACAUGUAAAUGAUCUGGUUUUGUUGACAUGAGUUGAUUAAGCUGAGUUUUGGUGCGCAUGUAAACUAAUUAUGGACCUUAUUGGCCGACACACAGGAGAUCUCCAGAGCUUUUACGACGGUGACAGUUUUCAGACACGAGAGCUCAUUUUGUAAAUAGUCUUUUUCUUCCACUUUCUUGUUUGUUUCUUUGUGUGUGUUUUUUUUUUUUUUUAAUGAUUCAUAGCCUGUCUAGAUAACACAGUGACCUGCAAGGUCUUCACAUUCAGUGCCCCAUGAAGGAAAUGUCAUGGAUGUUGUUUAUAUGUUCAGAGAAAUGAUAUUCCAUGUAUUAGCCAUCACUUUAAUACAAAAUACCGGAUUUUGAAACUAUGAAAUGACCACUUGUUACAAUUACAUGUUUAUUUAUUUUAAUUUUUAAUUGUUUUAUAAAAUUGUUAGAGGUAAUAUUAGAGAGAAGUCAUGGUGCUCCAAAAUAAAUAAGAAUCAUGAAAAUGAUCGAACUGUACGUUACAGUUAAACUGUAGAAAUACUGAGGUCAACGGUGUGCUCUACACACAAUAUUUGAAAAUCAAAAAAUCUUGUUGCACUUAUUUUUAGUCUACACCGAUUUGAAAUGCUCUUUUUGUCCAUAUAAUUUAGAUUUGAUGUCUUAUUUCAUAGCUUCAAAAUGUUUUGCUGCUAAAACAGGAUUUCCAAACAGGUGGUUUGAUGUUGCCCAAUCAGAAUUCUCCAAAUGUCCAAUAAUCCAAUAAUUUGGUUGAUACACAGUAUCCCCAUUGUUGUUUUUCAGAAUAACCUCAUGGUUUUGAUUCUAUUUUACUUUUUAAGUUGUAUUUGACUUAAAUAAAUGUUGUCUUAUGGUGACAAUUAUUUCAAUACAAAUACAAUUCAGAAUAAAAUAAAAAGUUUGUGUGAAACUCCGACAUCUUGAGAAUUUGACGAGCUCAUCUCACUCCCUGCUUGUAAACAGUUUUCUUAUUUAUACAAAAAUUCAUUUUGUACAGUUUUUUUUAAGAGAAGAUAGGUUUUGAUAUUUGGUUAUUUUGCAAAGCCACUUGGCUCCUUUUGUCUUCCUGUGCCAGAGUUGCUAAGUUUUCUGUAACUUUUUUUUAUUUUUAUUGAUUGCGAUAAGAUUUUCUUUCUGCAUUGGUUUUCUCUUUGAAUUUGUCAAUUUCCCUUUUUUUAAAUAAAAACUUGUUUCUGUGA